GCAAAUCAUCCGGACUCGCAACCUCAUUGUUCAAAUUGUCUGACUCGCAACCGCAGUUCCGAGUCGCAACCGAGAUCUCGACUCUUCACGGCUUGUCGCAACCUCAUUGUUCAAAUCGUCUGACUCGCAACCGCAUUUUCGAGUCGCAACCGCAGUUUCUACCUGCAACUCCGUUCAUCUUCACUAAUCGGAGCAUCCCAUCAUUGCCGUAACAACCACGUCGAAACACAACGUUCUCUGUCAUUCUUCAUCUUCUCCGGUCAUCCUCUUCAUCAACCCUCGUCGUCGGACCUGAAACUCCGUCUCCGAUCUUCGUUCUAUCAUCACUCGUUCCACGUCUUCACCAUCUUGUUUUUAGUGUCAACCAUCAACUACAUAUUCAUCUUCUUUGUCGAUAGUCUGCAAAUCUCCAACAUCAACUGUGACCACCAUCAUCGACAACAACCACCACCACGGUUGCGUCCAACAUCAAUAAGUUCUUCAUCGUCAACGUCGUCUUCAACGCGUUCAACGCUCAACUUUAUCACCAUCGUUAUCACCACUAACGUUAUCACCAUCGUUCUGUAUCAACAUCGUCAACGUCAUCACGGUUUCGAGUUGCAACAUCGUUCCGUCUCAACGUUAUCACCAUUGUCUUCAACGCGGUCGCCAUCGUCUUCUCCGCGGUCGCCAACUCCGAUCACCACCUCCGGUCGCCAACUCCGAUCACCAACUCCGAUCACCACCUCUGAUCUCCGUUAACUCCGAUCACCGAGCCGUCAUCGUCACUUUUACCUCUUCUCCGAACAUCUCCAUUUUCAUUCAUUUGUGACGGUUUUAUCGUCGGGAAUAGUGUUAAUCUGAUUUGGUGAUAUAAAGGUUGUUUGUAAGACUUUAUAAUAAUAUUAAUAAUAAUAAUCAAUCAUUAGGAUCAUCAUUACAUAAUUAUUGGUUUUCAUAAUAAUAAUGAUUGGGUUCGUUUGUUUGGUGGUGAAUUCGGUUUUUGACGGGUUUUGA
rnacentral:lncRNA from 1 species